rnacentral:tRNA from 1 species
CAGGUGGUAGUUUAAUUAAAAUGUUAACUUUGGGUGUUAUGGUUCCUUCAGGUCACCUGA